GUAACGCGUGGUAACCUGCCUCAUACAGGGGAUAACAGUUAGAAAUGACUGCUAAUACCGCAUAAGCACACAGUACCGCAUGGUACAGUGUGAAAAACUCCGGUGGUAUGAGAUGGACCUGCGUCUGAUUAGCUAGUUGCGGGUAACGCCCACCAAGGCGACGAUCAGUAGCCGACCUGAGAGGGUGACCGGCCACAUUGGGACUGAGACACGGCCCAA
rnacentral:rRNA from 1 species